rnacentral:lncRNA from 1 species
UUUGUUCUAUGGGUGGGUGGGGGGAGCUUGGAGCUGUCUUGAUCUGUAUUCUCUUGACUGAACAAUAAAUUUUUAAAUAUAUCUAGUUUCCUCUAUUAAACACUUAAACCUGGCCAUCUUAUUAACUCCUUCUCUCUUUUUAACAAGGUAACGUUUUAAAUGUAUAUAGCUUUAGGACUAGCGAAAUGGCAGCAACAAAAAAUUGUGAGCAGUUGUUACUCUUUCAGUUUUUAAAAAACCUUUUACAUUGUAAGUACCCAAUCCAUUCUGUCCUGACGCAGUACAGUUUUGAUGUUAAUGUUGCUGAGAUGUCCUUAAUUUUCCGAACCUUCAUCUGCAUGUAUGUCUUUGUCUCUCUUGUCUAAUAUAAGCCAGUUAAGAUGCUUGAGACGAUCUUGCUUUAUAAAGCUAAGGUUCUAGCUUUAUGCUUUUGAAAAUGUUUACAGCACUAAAUGCUAGUCAGCUUUCUUCCCCGUAGCUUGUACACUUUCUUUGAAAAUCGAUCUAUUUGAAGAAAAACAGCCCUGUUUUUCUCGUCUUUGGUGUUGGGGGUUGGGGGGAGCUGGUGGGUGAGGGAAAGGAAGACCUUUUCUUUGUGUAGAGAGACUAAAGCCGUCACAGGAAACUAGAUUAAAACUGGAAAACAAGUCCUAGCUGGUUCCAGCAAACACCAACGUUAAGUGGGGGGUAUUUUCUAUGGUGGUUGGGCGGCUGGUGCGUCUUUUGCCUUUUGUUUGAUUUGACUGUAUUUUCCCUUUUGUCUCUUAAUGACGAUCACACCAUUGCUAUAUCCAGAGCAGUAAACAGUCCUCAGCGAAGCCGCCUUUUUGCCUACCCAACCCUGGAAAGUUUGCAGAAGUGGAAGGAGCAGAACGUGAGGGUGUAACUUACAAAAAGGUUCUGGGCCGGAGAAGGGGCGACGUUCGGGCACCCCCCGAAUGGACAAUCUUUCCUUCUGUCAACGGCAGGGGCAGGCCUAGUUUGACUCUGACAGUCCUCCCACUAAGCUUCUGUUGUCAGGCAUUUGGGGCGUGUAAUUCUCUGCCGAAUAUAGCAGCAUACGAGAGGAUCCACUUGCAAGUAUUUCCCAGUUGUGUGUUCUUCGGCGGGGGGAGGGCCCUGGGUGCCGCCUACUUCUGAAAGACACAGGUCACUGCCAGAAAGCCCAACUGUGCUGUGGCCUUCCCUCCAGCCGCCCCCGUGGGGCAUGUGGGGUGACAGUGUGAGCCGUUCUCUGAUGUCUGGCUGCUAGAGAGGCAAAGAACCAGAGACCCGAGGUUCC